rnacentral:lncRNA from 1 species
CCCAUCUCUGCCCUGAUUGGCUACACCCCAUCGGGAGCCCUCCAGUCCCUGCUCGACUCUUACUGGCUCCCUCAGGUUCUCGCGCGCUCUCCUUCUAAAUCCCGAAGAAGCCUUGGCUGCUGCAACGGAAUUCCCACUCUCUGUGGAAAGGUCUUCUACAAGCCUUCAACUCCUCAAGUUACUUUUCUUUCUAGAAACCCCAAACCGGCAAGUCUGUGACUUAUUUUAACCAGCCCUCCACGCUUUUGAGCUGGACUUCAAAGACCCAUCUGUGAAUUUCAAAAUUUUGCAGUUACAUUUACUUUUGUGUAGUGUUGAUGUCACAUCAAAACUUUGCAACCAGGACCACACCUGUGGUCCAGGAGGAGUGCUUCUGCGCCAAAACCCACUUGAGGCCACAUUGGACGAACAGGUUAUUGAUUCUGUUUGGUAGAUAAAUGGUGACCUGAAUUGUGGCAUGUUGGCAAAUAAACAGGAUAUCUAGUUAAAGUUGAUUUCCAAAUAAACUUUUUUAGUGUAAGUAUGUCCCAAAUAUUGCACAGGACGUGAACAUACACUAAAAACUUAUUUGCUGUUUAUACACUGAUAAUAUAGACGGUGUCCUGUAUAUAAUCUGACUCAGCCUUUGGGCAAACUCUUGUUAAAUGUUCAAUUACUUUGGCUUAUUAAGUAAUAGCAAUGGACAAGUCUGAUUUAUCUCUGGAACUCAAAUGAAUUUUGUAGCUCUGACUUUAAAAGGACAAGGCAGCUGUAGCUUUGGCUUAUGAACAAAUGAAAAAACCAAAUGAUAUUAUUUUGAGUUAUCUCUGAAGAACAAGAGAAGGGCUAACAUGUUUCUUAAAAAUAAGGCUAUCAAAAAAAUGUUAACUAUUCACAAAGGAAAUCAGCCUUGCAGAGCUGAGUAUCUGUUGUUCAGCUAUGCUACAGAAGAGGAUGUUGGACCUUGUGAAACAAUUCUCAGAGGAAACAGCAGAGAGAAAGGAAGAUUGCCGAUGUCCUAGCUACUCUUGGGAAAGUGUCUGUAAGUUCCUUCAAUGCUGUAAGAAAUACUUAAGCCACUAAGGUUAAAUUAUUGGCAUAAAUAAAUAGAGGGGAAGGGUAAAACCUACGUGGCAAAAGGGAAAAAUGCAUGGCUUAUGAAGGUAUCAAAUGAUAAAGCGCUAGAAAGAACAAACCAUUGCAAAAUUUUAUUCCAACGGAUUAACUACAUAUUCAAAGAACUGCUUAGGAAGGAUUGAGUGUUUACAUUUACAAUGUUAGUCUGAUUCUGUGGUCAAAAUUUUUGUGCAUCUUGUUUUCAUCAAAAUAGCCUUAUUGAUGCAGCUGCAUUUGUGCAGUUGGGAGUUAAGGCCCCAUGGGUUUCUUGCCUUUCUGCACAUUUAAUUGCAAAGAUAGUAUUUCCUGCCAGGGCAAAGUUUGGGUACGUUUGCUAGCAGCCUUCUUAGGACUUUCCUAAGCUUGGAGUUCUUCCAGUUGCAUAACAAACACAGUGCAUGUACAACACCCAUCUGGCAGCUCCUCUUCGCCUUGUGGGACUUCAGAACGAGGGGAAUCUAUGGAAGUAUGAAGCUCAUGGUGCCUGUUGUGCUUUGAGUAAUAAAGUUAUUUGUCUCAGACUCAGGAAUCUCACACAUUCUGCCAACUUCCAUGAAACUGUGGCACUCUACUUGUUUGCUUAUAACUAGGGUAAAAUAUCAGAUCCUUCAUAGUUCCUGCCAAUAUAUCUCUUAACUUAGAGAAAGGGCUACCAAAGAAAGUUCCUACCAUGAAGAUGCAGAGGAGGACUUUGAACAACACAGCAUCUCUCUCUCUAAAACUAGUGUUUCAAAUUUUAAAUAUUCUAGUAUAAAAAUUCAAAUAAGGCCAUAGAGUUUUUUUUAAAUAACAGUAAUGUUAAUUUGCCUCCAUGAGUCAAGUUAAUACUGUAUGAACAAUAGCAUUUUAUGAAAAUGUCAUGUCUAUUUAAAAAAUUUGCUUUUUAAAUAUUUUUCUUUUAAUAAAAUCCUUCUUUACUUUAUAAAAAUAGUUAUAGAGUGAAUACGACGUACUAGGCAUUGUGUGUUGUGAAGUGUUAUUUCUCAAAACAACUCCAUCAGGUAUAUGUUAUUAUUCCCACUUUACAAAUGUGAAAAGUAAGGUGGAUAAUUGUAUUUCACUACCCACAAAUGCAGUUGCAUAGUGACUAGCAAAUCUGAGAGUAUGGCUGCAGAAUGUGGUUUCUUAAACAUUGUAUGUCCCCUUUUCUCUCCAUCCCCAACCAUAGUGCUGUAUUUCAGAAUAUAAUAAAAUUGUUUACACCAUAAAA